UACAGAGGUCUCAAGCGUUGUUCGGAAUUACUGGGCGUAAAGGGUGCGCAGGCCGCGCGGGCAGUCAAAUGUGUAAUCCAGGGGCUCAACCCCUGAACUGCGCUUGAUACUUCCGCGCUCGAGCUUUGGAGAGGAGUCUAGAAUUCUCGGUGUAGCAGUGAAAUGCGUGGAUAUCGAGAAGAACACUUAGGGCGAAGGCAAGACUCUGGACAAAUGCUGACGCUCAUGCACGAAGGCUAGGGUAGCGAACGGG
rnacentral:rRNA from 1 species